rnacentral:tRNA from 1 species
AGCCCCGUGGUGUAGCGGUUAUCACUUCGGACUCUGAAUCCGAUAACCCCAGUUCGAUUCUGGGCGGGGCUG